CUUAAGAAAAAAGGUUCUUCAAAGGUUCUGAAACUAUGGUAAAGGUUCUAUAUAGAACCAUAGCUUACUGAAGAACCAUUUUUUGCUGAAAUGGUUCUUUGUCUUGGCAAAAGGGUUCUUUAUUUCCCUCCUUUUUUGAUUUUAAAUUUAGUCAGUUAUUAGUCCUGAUUAUUUUCACCUGUGAAAGCCCUGAAUCAUCAGUCCUGCUGAACUGCCUGCAGACUAACAUCACAAACAGGUAAACUUUAUACUGAAAGCUUCAUUCCCUUUAAAGCAGAGUUUUUAUAUGUGAGGUAAUCUUGCUGGGAGUGAAGGCAGUGCAUGUGACCGCUUGAUAUGAGAGACACAUACUGUAUUUAAAGGU